rnacentral:lncRNA from 1 species
CUGAUCAUUUAUUUCACCCGUGGGCAUAUUUGAGCCUGUAAUGGAUUUUUCAUCACUACUGUGAAUUCUUCCUUCUCAGACAAAUCAACAUCAUCUCCAUCCACAGCUUUCCACUCAAAUCUCCAAAUCAAAUUAGCUACAAAGUACUCCAAAUGAAGUAUUGCUAGACCAUAAGCAGGACAUAUUCUCCUCCCAGCCCCAAAUGGCAUCAUCUUUAUCUCUCUACUUCCUGUUAUAUCAAAUGUUUCCCCUCCACUACUUAGAAACCUUUCAGGCUUGAAUGCCAUAGGAUCCUCCCACACCUUCGGAUUCCACCCCAUCUCAGCCACCAUAAAAUUUAUAGUUCCAUCUUUUGGUACCACAUAUUUACCCAGCACUGCAUCUUCAGUCACCGCAUGUGGCAACACGAAAUGGCCUGGCGGGUGCCUCCUUAACCCUUCUAGAAUUAUUGCUUUUAGAUAUGGCAUCUUUUGCAAUUCCUCUUCUUUUAUAUUCUCUUCACCAUCUUGCACAACCCCUUUAAUCUCCAUGAAUAGCUUCUCUUGGAUUUGCGGGUACUUAACUAGAUUUGCCAUGAUCCAUUGCAACGCUGUUGAAGUAGUAUCUGUUCCUCCGUUGAGAAACUCUGAGGCACAGGACUGACCAUUUCCUCUUCAUUGAGCUUUCUUUUCUCUUCCGGAAGCUCCAAAGCCAGUAUGGUGUCAACAUAGCACAAAACAUACUCAUCUUCAUAGUCUUUCUUGUCCUCUUUACUUUUGUUUACCCUCUCUUCCUUGGCCUUCUUUCUUGCUCUUAUCAAUGGAAUCAAAACAUCUUCUUGGCACCUUCGAAGGGAAAACAACUCCCUCCAACGGUUGCGCAACACGAUCUUUGUCACUCCUGGCCAGAAAUUGAGUAUGUUGAACUUACUAAAAUUCACUAUCAUUUGUCGCUGAACUCCCAUAAUUUUUUUUAUCUGAUUUUCAUCAUGCUUGUCUCCAAAACACAUCAGGACUAAUAGACAAAACAUGGCAUAUUGAAAAUGUUCCAUUACACAAAUAGGACGACCGGCUUUCGCUUGAGAUUCGAAGCGAUUCUGGAGGAUUUGCAGAACCCAGUUGCGUGCAUGAGUGUAGGAUUUCACACGCGAUGGGUGGAGGAUUUCUGCUGUGAGGUUACGCCGCAGAAGUCGCCAUGUUGGACCGUAAAAGGAAGAACUAAUAUUAUGCUGAUUACUAGUUAAAAAUUUUCUCGUAGCAACAGCUGGUGGGCGGUCCGCAAAAACUGCGCCGCCAUGUAUUAAAGCCUCAUGAGCAAGGGUGCGAUCUGCAACGAAGAUAGCAGGGCGAGUGCCAAUACGGAGGGUAACCAUGGGGCCAAACUUGGCAUGGAGGGAUCGAAGGAUUGGCUCUAUCUUGAAGGCGGACAUGCGGAGCCAUAGUAAGUGGCCGAUGAAAGGAAAGGACAGGGGACCUGGAGGUAGGUUUUUAGAGGUUAAGAAAUUGUUGAAGAUAGUUUUCAAGAACAGAGAGACGGAAAUGGAGACAAGGAUAAGGAACCAACUUUCCAUACUGAAAAAAAUGAAGUGAUGAGUUUAGCAGUGGAAUGGACUCAGAGUGCGCGUGUAUAUACAUAGGCUAGCAAAUUGACUGAGUCUAAUUGUGGAUGCUUUUUUCGUUUCUUGUAGAUAGAAGAAUACAUCGUCUACUUUUUUUAAAAUGUUUUUUUGGACAAAAGCAGCAAAGACUCAAAAUGGGUGGAAUUCAUCGCUAGCUAGCUUGUUUGUUUUUAUGUACUACGUAUUGUAUUACGUCCUCAAUCGUGGCAGAGAGUUAUUAAGUGUUAAUUAUAUUAUUAUUAUAUAAAAGAAAUAAAGGUUUCACCGUAGCUAUUUUAUUACUUAUACUCUCACGUAUAACAUGUGGAAUCUAAUUAGUGAAUUUUUAAAAAGCUCUUAAUUUCAUCCCUGAAAUUUUAUCUUGUACAAUUGAGUCAUUUUGAAUUCAAAUUAGCAUUCAAUUACAUAUUUGUUUAGGAGGAAAAGUUAAAUUGAAAGAUAAAGGACUUAAGUGAAAAUGACAAUAAAAUUGAUGAUGACUUUGAAUUUUUUUAAAAAGUUCAUUUUAUUUUCCUGUUUUUUUAAGCUUUUAGGUGGUAACAGCACUUUAAUUUUUAAAAAUUCAAUUUUUUAUAUUAAAUUUUAUUUUUUUAUUUUUUAUUUUUUUUGCGGUGGAGAGGGAGGGGAUUGCCGAAUUCCAAUGUAGAGAAAGUUUCUUGGAAAUGAUUUUGACCACUAAAAUAGUUAAUUUUUGUGUCAAAUAGUUCUAUAUGAUGAGAGAAGCUAAAAAUUAGUGUUUUUUUUUUUUCAUUUUGAAAAUGUCUAAAAAACAUAUCUGAUCUCAGAAAGAUUUUUUUAUUUCAGAUUGAUUAUGGAUGUUUUCUAGGUAUCAUGGAUAAAAAAAGAGCUUCGGAAUUCCAUUUUAAAUCCUUUUUCAAAUCAAACUAAGCUACAGUAAUCUUCACCUACGUGCGUCCACCCAUUUUAAUUUUGCACAUGAAAUUUUCAAUUAAGAGUUUCAGAUUUCAAAGCUGAUCGUUUCAUUAAAAAAAAUAAAAUUGUCUUCAGAUUAAUUCCAUUGUACUUGUUCCAAUCUAGAUUACUUUACUGUCUUUGUUAGUUAUUAUAUUUGUUUGCAUAUCUUGUCAUUCGAUUGUCUUAAAUUACUAGUUACAUACCAUGCCACGCAAUAUAUUGCGGGCUUACUUUCUAUUUUCGUAAAAAAAAUUAGAUCCAAACAAUAGCAGGAUUCAAGCUAUUUAGCUCCAGCAUAAUUAAUGACUCAAGUCUAUUUUGGAUUCUACAGCAUGCAAGGCUCAAGGAUAAUUGUUUCUUAACAUGUCCAAGCGCCACUUGUAUGAUGCGAGUGCCCAGGCCCCAGACAGACAUCCCAAGCACGAUGUGUGCGCAGGGGAUGUGCCUAGCCCCCUAGCAGGAACCCAAGUGCCACGUGUCUCCACGUGGUUUUUCUUCGAUAAUAAUAACAAUUUUUUAAAAUUAAUUAAUGAUGAUAAUAAUAAUACUAAUAGUAAUUUUUAAUUUUACCUUUUAAAUCAAAUCUUUGGUUGGUUUCAAUAUUAAGAAUAAUUGUUUUCUAAUUUAGUAAUUAUUUUACUAAUAAUAUUGAUUAUUAUAAAAAUAAUAAUAUUUAUAACACAAAAAAUAAUAUUUUUAAUAUUAAUACUUUUGAUUAUAGUAAAAAAAAAUAAUAUUCAUAACACAAAUAAUACUAUUUUUAAUUUCAAGAAUAUUUAGAACAUAAAUAAUAAUAUUUUUUACAUUAAAAAUUUGAAUUAUUAUAAAAAUAAUAAUAUUAGAACAAGAAUAAUAAUAUCUUUUUGAGAUGAAUACUUUGUAUUCUAAGAAAAAUAAUAAUAUUGACAACGCAAAUUAUAAUAUUUUUUCUAUUAAUACUUAGAAUUAUUGAAUAUUUUUAAUGAUACUACGCCGCAGGCUCACUUUUUAUUUUUAUAAAAAAUACAAUAAAAAUUUAUAAUAUAAAUAAUAAUAUUUUCUUUCAAAUUUAUUAAUUAUUUUAUUAAUAAUAUUAAUUAUAAUAAAAAUAAUAAUAAUGGUAAAACAAAUAAUAAUAUUUAAAAUCUUAGGACCCAUGAACAUCGAGUCUUGAUGAAGGACCCAAUAAAAUUGGAUCCUUACGCUAGACCCAUUGAUCAUGGGUCAUGACAUCCAACCCAUUCCCCUUGAGUCCGGAACCAUGACCCAAGCGCCACUUGUCUCUAAUAGGGAGCGAUCAUGGCUCACCCAGCGCAGCACAAACGCCACGUGUGCGCUAAGGAGUGCCCAACUCAUAGGCAGGAGCACAAACGGCACGUGUGCACUGGGAUGUGCCCAGCCACCAGACAGGCAGCCCAAGCACCUCGUGUGCGCAUGGGUGUGCCCAACGCCCCUCCAGCUUGGCGCUUGGGUCCUGCAGGCUACAACCUCCACACAUGCCCCUACCAACAGUGCAGUCCACAAUGAAAAUACUCACAAUCUACAUUACCCGUGCUACAACAUAGAACAAUGUAAUCCAUAAUAAAUUCACUGAGAAUAAAUAAUAUUCAGUAUUAUAAUAAAACACUGAUAAAUUUAAGUCACAGUUAAUAAAAUCUCAAAGGUCAACAAUAUAGAUUUAUUUUCUAUCAAGAUUAAUUGACUAGUAGAUUGUAACAGGAGCGUGGCGUUCACGAAAGCAGUUCUCUUGGCAGUCAAGAACAGAACGCAUUUCAGUUUGCAGCACAAGCCACUCCAGAGAGAUAAAUUACUUUGGAUUUUGACGUUGAUGAAUUUUUGAGUUUUAGUAGUCUUCUACUAUAAACUCACACUAGUUUAGAUAAAUUAUAUGCAUAUAAGUACAAUAGAUGCUUUUUAUCAUUAAAAACAAACACAGACGCCACUUAUUUUUUUUAAAUAUUUUAUGAUAAUUAUUAUCCUUUUCUAUUAUAUAUAUAACAUAGACCUAGAAUAGCACCCCAUAAUUCUACUGUUAAAGCAAGAAAAAUGCUUCAAGUUUGCCAGAAACUAGGGAUCCAUUAAUUUCCUAGCUACUGCAACCCUGAGGAAAAACGAAUAAACAUUCACAAACAAAGAAUAACAUAAACAAAAAUAAUUAUGGUGGUAAUUAGCAUCCAAUAGAAUAUUGAUAUAAUGGAAUCAGAUUUAAACAAGAGGAGAAAUAUCACACAAACAUAGGAGCAUCCGACUUGAUAAGCUAGUAGAGUACUUACAUCAAGAGCUAUCGUCCAACUAAACAAAAUCAACCUUAUCUUUUAUAAUAAUAAUAAUAAUAAUAAUAAUAAUAAUAAUCAUAAACCUGAUCAUUUAUUUCAACCGUGGGCAUAUUUGAGCCUGUAAUGGAUUUUUCAUCACUACUGUGAAUUCUUCCUUCUCAGACAAAUCAACAUCAUCUCCAUCCACAGCUUUCCACUCAAAUCUCCAAAUCAAAUUAGCUACAAAGUACUCCAAAUGAAGUAUUGCUAGACCAUAAGCAGGACAUAUUCUCCUCCCAGCCCCAAAUGGCAUCAUCUUUAUCUCUCUACUUCCUGUUAUAUCAAAUGUUUCCCCUCCACUACUUAGAAACCUUUCAGGCUUGAAUGCCAUAGGAUCCUCCCACACCUUCGGAUUCCACCCCAUCUCAGCCACCAUAAAAUUUAUAGUUCCAUCUUUUGGUACCACAUAUUUACCCAGCACUGCAUCUUCAGUCACCGCAUGUGGCAACACGAAAUGGCCUGGCGGGUGCCUCCUUAACCCUUCUAGAAUUAUUGCUUUUAGAUAUGGCAUCUUUUGCAAUUCCUCUUCUUUUAUAUUCUCUUCACCAUCUUGCACAACCCCUUUAAUCUCCAUGAAUAGCUUCUCUUGGAUUUGCGGGUACUUAACUAGAUUUGCCAUGAUCCAUUGCAACGCUGUUGAAGUAGUAUCUGUUCCUCCGUUGAGAAACUCUGAGCACAGACUGACCAUUUCCUCUUCAUUGAGCUUUCUUUUCUCUUCCGGAAGCUCCAAAGCCAGUAUGGUGUCAACAUAGCACAAAACAUACUCAUCUUCAUAGUCUUUCUUGUCCUCUUUACUUUUGUUUACCCUCUCUUCCUUGGCCUUCUUUCUUGCUCUUAUCAAUGGAAUCAAAACAUCUUCUUGGCACCUUCGAAGGGAAAACAACUCCCUCCAACGGUUGCGCAACACGAUCUUUGUCACUCCUGGCCAGAAAUUGAGUAUGUUGAACUUACUAAAAUUCACUAUCAUUUGUCGCUGAACUCCCAUAAUUUUUUUUAUCUGAUUUUCAUCAUGCUUGUCUCCAAAACACAUCAGGACUAAUAGACAAAACAUGGCAUAUUGAAAAUGUUCCAUUACACAAAUAGGACGACCGGCUUUCGCUUGAGAUUCGAAGCGAUUCUGGAGGAUUUGCAGAACCCAGUUGCGUGCACGAGUGUAAGAUUUCACACGCGAUGGGUGGAGGAUUUCUGCUGUGAGGUUACGCCUCAGAAGUCGCCAUGUUGGACCGUAAAAGGAAGAACUAAUAUUAUGCUGAUUACUAGUUAAAAAUUUUCUCGUAGCAACAGCUGGUGGGCGGUCCGCAAAAACUGCGCCGCCAUGUAUUAAAGCCUCAUGAGCAAGGGUGCGAUCUGCAACGAAGAUAGCAGGGCGAGUGCCAAUACGGAGGGUAACCAUGGGGCCAAACUUGGCAUGGAGGGAUCGAAGGAUUGGCCCUAUCUUCAAGGCGGACGUGCGGAGCCAUAGUAAGUGGCCGAUGAAAGGAAAGGAUAGGGGACCUGGAGGUAGGUUUUUAGAGGUUAAGAAAUUGUUGAAGAUAAUUUUCAAUAAGAGAGAGAUGGAAAUGGAGACAAGGAUAAGGAACCAACUUUCCAUACUGAAAAAAAUGAAGUGAUGAGUUCAGCAGUGGAAUGGACUCAGAGUGCGCGUGUAUAUACAUAGGCUAGCAAAUUGACUGAGUCUAAUUGUGGAUGCUUUCUUCGUUUCUUGUAGAUAGAAGAAUACAUCGUCUACUUUUUUUUAAAUGUUUUUUGGACAAAAGCAGCAAAGACUCAAAAUGGAUGGAAUUCAUCGCUAGCUAGCUUGUUUGUUUUUAUGUACUACGUAUUGUAUUACGUCCUCAAUCGUGGCAGAGAGUUAUUAAGUGUUAAUUAUAUUAUUAUUAUAUAAAAGAAAUAAAGGUUUCACCGUAGCUAUUUUAUAAUUUAUACUCUCACGUAUAAAUGUGGAAUCUAAUAGUUAAUUUUUAAAAAGCUCUUAAUUUCAUAAGGACUUAAGUGAAAAUGACAGUAAAAUUGAUGGUGGUUUUGAAUUCUUUUUAAAAAGUUCAUUUUAUUCUCCAGUUCUUUUUAGCUUUUAGGUAGUACUAGCACUCUAAUUUUUAAAAAUUCAAUUUUUUAUAUCAAACUUUAUUUUUUUUAUUUUUUAUUUUUUUUGUGGUGGAGAGGGAGGGGAUUGCCGAAUUCCAAUAUAGAGAAAGUUUCUUGGGAAUGAUUUUGACCACUAAAAUGGUUAAUUUUUGUGUCAAAUAGUUCCAUAUGAUGAGAGGAGCUAAAAAUUAGUGUUUUUCUUUUUUCUACCUUGAAAGCAUCUAAAAAACAUAUCUGAUCUCGGAAAAGUUUUUUUAUUUCAGAUUGAUUAUGAAUGUUUUCUAGGUAUUAUGGAUAAAAAAUGAGCUUCAGAAUUCCAUUUUAAAUCCUUUUUCAAAUCAAACUAAGCUACAGUAAUCUUCACCUACGUGCGUCCACCCAUUUUAAUUUUAAUUUUGUGCGUCCACCCAUUUUAAUUUUAAUUUUGCACAUGAAAUUUUCAAUUAAAAUUUUCAGAUUUCAAAGCUGAUCGUUUCAUUAAAAAAAAAAUUGUCUUCAGAUUAAUUCCAUUGUACUUGUUCCAAUCUAGAUUACUUUACUGUCUUUGUUAGUUAUUAUAUUUGUUUGCAUAUCUUGUCAUUCGAAUGUCUUAAAUUACUAGUUACAUGCCAUGCCACGUAAUAUAUUACGGACUUACCUUUUAUUUUCAUAAAAAAUUAAAUCCAAACGAUAGCAAGAUUCAAGGCUAUUUGGGUUCAGCACAACCAAUGACCCAAGGCUAUUUUGGAUUUUAUAGCAUGUGAGGCCCAAGGAUAGUUAGUUUUUGGCAUGCCCAAGCGCCACUUGUGUGAUGCGGGUGCCCAGGCCCUAGACAAACAUCCCAAGCGCCACGUGUGCGCAGGGGGUGUGCCUAGCCCCCUAGCAGGAACCCAAGCGUCACGUGUCCCCACGUGGUUUUUCUUUGAUAAUAAUAACAAUUUUUUAAAAUUUAUUAAUGAUGAUAAUAAUAAUACUAAUAGUAAUUUUUAAUUUUACCUUUUAAAUCAAAUCUUUGGUUGGUUUCAAUAUUAAGAAUAAUUGUUUUCUAAUUUAGUAAUUAUUUUACUAAUAAUAUUGAUUAUUAUAAAAAUAAUAAUAUUUAUAACACAAAAAAUAACAUUUUUAAUAUUAAUACUUUUGAUUAUAGUAAAAAUAAUAUAUUCAUAACACAAAUAAUACUAUUUUUAAUUUCAAGAAUAUUUAGAAUAUAAAUAAUAAUAUUUUUUUAUAUUAAAAAUUUGAAUUAUUAUAAAAAUAAUAAUAUUGACAACGCAAAUUAUAAUAUUUUUUCUAUUAAUACUUAGAAUUAUUGAAUAUUUUUAAUAAUACUACGCCGCAGACUCACUUUUUAUUUUAUAAAAAAUACCAUAAAAAUUUAUAAUAUAAAUAAUAAUAUUUUCUUUCAAAUUUAUUAAUUAUUUUAUUAAUAAUAUUAAUUAUAAUAAAAAUAAUUAUAUUUGUAAAACAAAUAAUAAUAUUUAAAAUCCUAGGACCCAUGAACAUUCAGUCUUGAUGAAGGACCCAAUAGAAUUGGGUCUUUACGCUAGACCCAUUGAUCAUGGGUCAUGACAUCCAACCCAUGCCCCUUGAGUCCGGAACCAUUACCCAAGCGCCACUUGUCUCUAAUGGGGAGCGAUCAUGGCUCAUCCAGCGCAGCACAAGCGCCACAUGUGCGCUAAGAAGUGUCCAACUCAUAAGUAGGAGCCCAAGCGCCAUGUAUCUGCUGGGAUGUGUCCAGCCACCAGAUAGGUAGCUCAAGCGCCACGUGUGCGCAUGGGUGUGCCCAGCGCCCCUCCAGCUUGGCGCUUGGGUCCUGUAGGCUACAACCUCCACGCAUGCCCCCACCAACAGUGCAGUCCACAAUGAAAAUACUCACAAUCUACAAUACCCGUGCUACAACAUAGAACAAUGUAAUCCAUAGUAAAUUCAUUGACAAGGAAUAAUAUUCAGUAUUAUAAUAAAACACUGAUAAAUUUAAGUCACAGUUAAUAAAAUCUCAAAGCUUAACAAUAUAGAUUUAUUUUCUAUCCAGAUGAAUUGACUAGUAGAUUGUAACAGGAGCGUGGCGUUCACGACAAGCAGUUCUCUUGGCAGCCAAGAACAAACAAUGAAUUUCAAUUUGCAAGCAGUUCUCUUGGCAGUCAAGAACAGAACGCAUUUCAGUUUGCAGCACAAGCCACUAUAGAGAGAUAAAUUACUUUGGAUUUUGACGUUGAUGAAUUUUUGGGUUUUAGCGGUCUUCUACUAUAAACUCACACUAGUUUAGAUAAAUUAUAUGCAUAUAAGUACAAUUGAUGCUUUUUAUUAUUAAAAACAAACACAGAUGCCACUUAUUUUUUUUAAAAUAUUUUAUGAUAAUUAUUAUCUUUUUCUAUUAUAUAUAUAACAUAGACCUAGAAUAGCACCCCAUAAUUCUACUGUUAAAGCAAGAAAAAUGCUUCAAGUUUGCCAGAAACUAGGGAUCCAUUAAUUUCCUAGCUACUGCAACCCUGAGGAAAAACGAAUAAACAUUCACAAACAAAGAAUAACAUAAACAAAAAUAAUUAUGGUGGUAAUUAGCAUCCUAUAGAAUAUUGAUAUAAUGGCAUCAGAUUUAAACAAGAGGAGAAAUAUCACACAAACAUAGGAGCAUCCGACUUGAUAAGCUAGUAGAGUUACAUCUUACAUCAAGAGCUAUCGUCCAGCUAAACAAAAUCAACCUUAUCUUUUAUAAUAAUAAUAAUAAACCUGAUCAUUUAUUUCACCCGUGGGCAUAUUUGAGCCUGUAAUGGAUUUUUCAUCACUACUGUGAAUUCUUCCUUCUCAGACAAAUCAACAUCAUCUCCAUCCACAGCUUUCCACUCAAAUCUC